CGAGGGUGUUCCAGAGGGACGGGACAGCAGCUGCAAAGGCCCUGUUGCCCCUGGUUUGGCGCUUGGUCCGGAUGGUUUGCAGCAGCUGCACCAUCCACUGGCAGCUCUGGAAACAUGCCAGCCUCCAGCCACCGCGCUGGCGCAGCGCUGCUCCACACAGCCACCUGUGGUUGCCACCCGAUUUCACAUGCCGACACUCCAGAUUCCCGACCUACUAACAAACGGAGCAUUCCACACUGGGCUCCCACAGCACCGGAACAGCAUUGACAACCAGCCAGUAUGGCCAAAUGCAGCACUACGACUAACCGGAUGCUGCACUGAAAACGGUCAAAAAGUUGAGUGUGGAACGCUGGACACUACUCGCCCUCAACAGUCGCCAUCUUUGCUACGGAGCGGAAGCUACGGGACCACCA